AGUUUUUUAAGUUUAUAAAAGAUAUAACCUGCCCAUUGAAUAUAAAAUUUUAAAGGCCGCAGUAUAUUGACUGUGCAAAGGUAGCAUAAUCAAUAGAUUUUUAAUUGGAAUCUGGAAUGAAUGGUUAAAUGAAAUAAAAUCUUUUUUAAUUUUAAUAUUUGAAUUUUAUAAAUUAGUAAAAAAUCUUAUAAAUAAAAAAAAGACGAGAAGACCCUAUAAAAUUUUAUAAAUUAAAUUAAUUUAUUAUUUAUAUUUAAUUUAUUAUUAUAUUAAUUUAUUUUAUUGGGGAGAUAUUUAAAUUUUUAAAACUUUAUAAUAUUAAAAUUCAUUUUUAGAUGUAUUUUUGAUCUUUUUAUAUUGAUUAAAAAAAUAAAUUACUUUAGGGAUAACAGCAUAAUAAUUUUAUUAAGUUCUUAUUAAUAAAAAAGAUUAUGACCUCGAUGUUGAAUUAAAAUAAUUAUUAUAUGAAGGGAUAUAAUAAAUAAGUCUGUUCGACUUUUAAAAUUUUACAUGAUUUGAGUUCAAAUCGGUGUAAG
rnacentral:rRNA from 1 species